rnacentral:rRNA from 1 species
UUAAGCGACUAAGCGUACACGGUGGAUGCCCUGGCAGUCAGAGGCGAUGAAGGACGUGCUAAUCUGCGAAAAGCGUCGGUAAGGUGAUAUGAACCGUUAUAACCGGCGAUGUCCGAAUGGGGAAACCCAGUGUGAUUCGUCACACUAUCGUUAACUGAAUACAUAGGUUAACGAGGCGAACCGGGGGAACUGAAACAUCUAAGUACCCCGAGGAAAAGAAAUCAACCGAGAUUCCCCCAGUAGCGGCGAGCGAACGGGGAGCAGCCCAGAGUCUGAAUCAGCUUGUGUGUUAGUGGAACGGUCUGGAAAGUCCGACGGUACAGGGUGAUAGUCCCGUACACCAAAAUGCACAGGCUGUGAACUCGAAGAGUAGGGCGGGACACGUGGUAUCCUGUCUGAAUAUGGGGGGACCAUCCUCCAAGGCUAAAUACUCCUGACUGACCGAUAGUGAACCAGUACCGUGAGGGAAAGGCGAAAAGAACCCCGGCGAGGGGAGUGAAAAAGAACCUGAAACCGUGUACGUACAAGCAGUGGGAGCACCUUCGGGUGUGACUGCGUACCUUUUGUAUAAUGGGUCAGCGACUUAUAUUCUGUAGCAAGGUUAACCGUAUAGGGGAGCCGCAGGGAAACCGAGUCUUAACUGGGCGUUAAGUUGCAGGGUAUAGACCCGAAACCCGGUGAUCUAGCCAUGGGCAGGUUGAAGGUUGGGUAACACUAACUGGAGGACCGAACCGACUAAUGUUGAAAAAUUAGCGGAUGACUUGUGGCUGGGGGUGAAAGGCCAAUCAAACCGGGAGAUAGCUGGUUCUCCCCGAAAGCUAUUUAGGUAGCGCCUCGUGAAUUCAUCUUCGGGGGUAGAGCACUGUUUCGGCUAGGGGGUCAUCCCGACUUACCAACCCGAUGCAAACUACGAAUACCGAAGAAUGUUAUCACGGGAGACACACGGCGGGUGCUAACGUCCGUCGUGAAGAGGGAAACAACCCAGACCGCCAGCUAAGGUCCCAAAGUCAUGGUUAAGUGGGAAACGAUGUGGGAAGGCACAGACAGCCAGGAUGUUGGCUUAGAAGCAGCCAUCAUUUAAAGAAAGCGUAAUAGCUCACUGGUCGAGUCGGCCUGCGCGGAAGAUGUAACGGGGCUAAACCAUGCACCGAAGCUGCGGCAGCGACACUAUGUGUUGUUGGGUAGGGGAGCGUUCUGUAAGCCUGCGAAGGUGUGCUGUGAGGCAUGCUGGAGGUAUCAGAAGUGCGAAUGCUGACAUAAGUAACGAUAAAGCGGGUGAAAAGCCCGCUCGCCGGAAGACCAAGGGUUCCUGUCCAACGUUAAUCGGGGCAGGGUGAGUCGGCCCCUAAGGCGAGGCCGAAAGGCGUAGUCGAUGGGAAACAGGUUAAUAUUCCUGUACUUGGUGUUACUGCGAAGGGGGGACGGAGAAGGCUAUGUUAGCCGGGCGACGGUUGUCCCGGUUUAAGCAUGUAGGCUGGUUGUCCAGGCAAAUCCGGAUAAUCAAGGCUGAGGUGUGAUGACGAGGCACUACGGUGCUGAAGUAACAAAUGCCCUGCUUCCAGGAAAAGCCUCUAAGCAUCAGGUAACAUCAAAUCGUACCCCAAACCGACACAGGUGGUCAGGUAGAGAAUACCAAGGCGCUUGAGAGAACUCGGGUGAAGGAACUAGGCAAAAUGGUGCCGUAACUUCGGGAGAAGGCACGCUGGUGUGUAGGUGAAGCCCCUGCGGGUGGAGCUGAGACCAGUCGAAGAUACCAGCUGGCUGCAACUGUUUAUUAAAAACACAGCACUGUGCAAACACGAAAGUGGACGUAUACGGUGUGACGCCUGCCCGGUGCCGGAAGGUUAAUUGAUGGGGUUAUCCGUAAGGAGAAGCUCUUGAUCGAAGCCCCGGUAAACGGCGGCCGUAACUAUAACGGUCCUAAGGUAGCGAAAUUCCUUGUCGGGUAAGUUCCGACCUGCACGAAUGGCGUAAUGAUGGCCAGGCUGUCUCCACCCGAGACUCAGUGAAAUUGAACUCGCUGUGAAGAUGCAGUGUACCCGCGGCAAGACGGAAAGACCCCGUGAACCUUUACUAUAGCUUGACACUGAACAUUGAGCCUUGAUGUGUAGGAUAGGUGGGAGGCUUUGAAGCGUGGACGCCAGUCUGCGUGGAGCCAACCUUGAAAUACCACCCUUUAAUGUUUGAUGUUCUAACGUUGGCCCCUUACCGGGGUUGCGGACAGUGUCUGGUGGGUAGUUUGACUGGGGCGGUCUCCUCCCAAAGCGUAACGGAGGAGCACGAAGGUUAGCUAAUCCUGGUCGGACAUCAGGAGGUUAGUGCAAUGGCAUAAGCUAGCUUGACUGCGAGCGUGACGGCGCGAGCAGGUGCGAAAGCAGGUCAUAGUGAUCCGGUGGUUCUGAAUGGAAGGGCCAUCGCUCAACGGAUAAAAGGUACUCCGGGGAUAACAGGCUGAUACCGCCCAAGAGUUCAUAUCGACGGCGGUGUUUGGCACCUCGAUGUCGGCUCAUCACAUCCUGGGGCUGAAGUAGGUCCCAAGGGUAUGGCUGUUCGCCAUUUAAAGUGGUACGCGAGCUGGGUUUAGAACGUCGUGAGACAGUUCGGUCCCUAUCUGCCGUGGGCGCUGGAGAAUUGAGGGGGGCUGCUCCUAGUACGAGAGGACCGGAGUGGACGCAUCACUGGUGUUCGGGUUGUCAUGCCAAUGGCACUGCCCGGUAGCUAAAUGCGGAAGAGAUAAGUGCUGAAAGCAUCUAAGCACGAAACUUGCCCCGAGAUGAGUUCUCCCUGAGACUUUAAGUCUCCUGAAGGAACGUUGAAGACGACGACGUUGAUAGGCCGGGUGUGUAAGCGCAGCGAUGCGUUGAGCUAACCGGUACUAAUGAACCGUGAGGCUUAACCUU